rnacentral:rRNA from 1 species
AAUGAACGCUGGCGGCGUGCUUAACACAUGCAAGUCGAACGGAAAGGCCUGCUUUCCCUUGUGGAUUGCGGGUACUCGAGUGGCGAACGGGUGAGUAACACGUGAGUGAUCUGCCCCCAACUUGGGUAUAAGCCUGGGAAACUGGGUCUAAUUCCCGAUAGGACUGCAGGGUGGUGCCUGUGGUGGAAAACGAUUUUCUAGUGGUUGGGGAUGAGCUCGCGGCCUAUCAGCUUGUUGGUGGGGUAAUGGCCUACCACGGCGGCGACGGGUAGCCGGCCUGAGAGGGUGGACGGCCACAUUGGGACUGGGAUACGGCCCAGACUCCUACGGGAGGCAGCAGUGGGGAAUAUUGCACAAUGGGCGGAAGCCUGAUGCAGCGACGCCGCGUGGGGGAUGACGGCCUUCGGGUUGUAAACUCCUUUCGACCGCGAGGAAGCCACCUGGUUGGAAGGGUGGUGACGGUAGUGGUAGAAGAAGCACCGGCUAACUACGUG